AUGAACUCCUCUCAGUGCUCUGACUUUUCAGCACUGGGGACAGGACUAGUGGAUCACCUUUACAGUCUUGGCACAAGCUGGCCAUGUGGGAGGCAGGUACCCUCUGUGUCAGUGUGCACACUGUUCCUGCGGACCAGGAAUGUGAACUACUGCACGUUACGAGCUGAGCUGCUCAUGUCUUUGCAUGACUUGGACGUCAGUGACAUCUGCACUGUGGAUCCCUGCCGUAAGUUCACCUGGUGCCUGGAUGCCUGCAUCCGGGAGCGGUUUGUGGACAGCAAAAGAGUCCGGGAGCUACAGGGAUUUCUUGAUGGUGUGAAGAAGGGCCAGGAACAAGUUUUGGGGGAUUUGUCUAUGAUCCUGUGCGACCCCUUUGCCAUCAACACACUAUCCCUGAACACCAUCAAGUGCAUAGAUAGCCAGAUCUUCAAGGACCUAAGAUGGAGGCAGAGCUCAUCACCAACUUUCUGCCGAUACUCAUGUCCCUCGUGGUGGAUGACUUCACUUUCAACGUAGCUUCCAGCUGAGGAGAAAGCCCCAGUCACAUACCCCAACACACUUCCUGAAAGUCUCACCAAGUUUCUGCAGGAACAGCGCAUGGCUUGUGAGGUGGGACUAUACUACGUCCUACACAUCACCAAGCAGAGAAACAAGAAUGCUCUCCUGCGCCUGCUGCCUGGACUUGUGGAAACGUUUGGUGACCUGGCCUUCAGUGACAUCUUUCUCCACCUGCUCACUGGGAGCCUGGUACUGCUUGCUGAUGAAUUUGCCCUGGAGGAUUUCUGCAGCAGCCUCUUUAAUGGCUUCUUCCUCACUGCCUCUCCGAGGAAGGAUAAUGUGCACCGUCAUGUGCUGAGGCUUCUCCUCCACUUGCAUGCAAGAGUGGCCCCUUCCAAGCUGGAGGCAUUGCAGAAGGCUCUGGAGCCCACGGGCCAGAGCGGGGAGGCCAUGAAAGAGAUCUACUCGCAGCUGUGUGAGAAGUUGGAGCAGUUAGACCAUCGGAAGCCCAGUCCUACCCAAGCUGCAGAGACACCAGCACUGGAUCUGCCUCUUCCCAGUGUGCCUGCUCCAGCCACACUGUGAGGCUGUGGGAAACUNUUUGACAGUGGUGCCCUAUGGAAGGGCACCCUAGUUGGCUAGGGGUGUGUGNUGANCUGAGAGGGGUGUUCUUUGGCAAGGUUCUCCCUCCUCUUAGUUUCUCCCAGGAGCUGGUCCCAAAGGGUCCUCCCUCAGUGGUCUACUUGCAUAUCAUAGGGGCCCCUUGAUGUCAUGGUGGGACUUGGCCCCUGCUUGACCCUGGCAGAGGUGGNUGGUGGUUUAUAGGAAAAGCAGUGGGCAGAGGCCUGACUGACGUGAUAUUCAAUCUGGACAAAGUCCAAGGUAUGCUAGUUUCACCAAAGUAGAUUUGCUGGACCUGAUCCCCAAGCACAGGAGUGGUANCCUCCACAGAAGCCAGGGGGAAAGUCUGCAGCAGGCCUGAGCCUGCUGAUGUCAGUGCUGACUGAGUCCAUGCUAACUGAGAUCUGUAGGCAGAGCUCUGCCCUGUAGCUCCCUGCUUCAGUUUAUCUUUGCAAUACAAAGCAAAUCCUUCCCCAGCUAUGUGUUUUAGCCUUUGAGUAGGGGAGUUUUGGUGUACACAUUGAAUUUUCCACUUAUGUAAAUAAAACGGAUUGUGAUU